UACGAAGGGGGCUAGCGUUGCUCGGAAUCACUGGGCGUAAAGCGCGCGUAGGCGGCCCGGUAAGUCCGCUCUGAAAGUCCAGGGCUCAACCCUGGAAAGCGGGUGGAUACUGCCGGGCUAGAAUCCGGAAGAGGCGAGUGGAAUUCCUGGUGUAGCGGUGGAAUGCGCAGAUAUCAGGAGGAACACCAAUAGCGAAGGCAGCUCGCUGGGACGGUAUUGACGCUAAGGCGCGAAAAGCGUGGGGAGCGAACAGG
rnacentral:rRNA from 1 species